GGAAGAAAGGUGAGCUUAAAAGGAAAGGGAAAAAGGAGGAGGAGGAGUAGGUCAAUGCUUAUAAAAGAGAAGAGGGACAAGUCUUUAAGGCACUAACGUACAAGAAAAUAUGACCGAAUUGGCAAAGGUGAAUGGAGAUUGUAUUUUCAUAUAUAAGAAGGGACAAGAUAAUUGUGAUUACUUACUAGAAUUAUAAAUGUAAUUAAUCGUUUACGAAUUUACACCGCCAAGUUAUCCAACAAGACUGAGAUACACUCUAGCUAUUUGGUAAGGGGUGGGCAGUGGCCAUGGUGUGUCUAAUUUAAUUUGCUACUAUUAACUAUGAGAUUAAAUAUUCUCAUUGCACGAAUUACGGUUUCUUUUACAAUCGAUCUCAACCAACCUACUAUGACCUCAUCGUUAUUUACACUUAAUCGGACGUUGAGAAGCCAUCGAGAUUCAUCCCAACUCGGCGAUUUCAGCAUAAUCUUGCAUGGGUUUAGUCACACAUGCAUCCGUGCAGCACCUCAUCUGCAAGCGCAUCGCGCCUCGGGAACAAUGUGACAAAUCCUACAUACCAUCCCCACAUCCGAUGUAGGACUUGCUCUUGCGGCCAUAGCCUGCCAAACUACAGCGAUUGGUCAGCACAAGUGAUUCGAUGCAUUAGGAGUUAGGACAACCAAAGGCCUAGCCCUUUCGUGGUUCAAAUAACGACAUUUAGUAGUCAAUUAGCUAGUUUUUUGGUUUCAUAAUUGCCGAUGUCAAAUUUUCUUUUGAUUGGUCUGUGACAAUGUUUUCCCAUUGUUGUCGUGCGUUUGUUGGAGAGUAAGAGUUUGAGAUCAUCUUGCUUGCAAGGACCCAGGUCCAUACAACCCCGCAUGUUAUCGAUUAUUCAGGAUUAUGACGUGUUCUUGCCAAACCCCUAUUGUUAUCCGUUUUUACUUGAUCAUCAUGACUAGAAAUUUGUCAUUAAUUAUGGGUCUGAGAGGAACAUUGAUUGAUAGGGACGGUUAGGAAGAAAUCUAUAUUCUCUAGUUAGCUAGAGAGAGAAGUGAUUUGUCUAUACUACUUAUUUGGCAUUUCAUCAUAUGCUUGUUAUGCGUUCUACUUGCAAGUGAAAUUGGCUCGAGAAAGAAGUCUUUACUCAAACUGAUAUAUUCUUAGAUUCGUGAUAGCGGUCUAAGAUAAUUGAAGGAAAUUUCCAAGCCAUUAUAACCAGUAUAUUUUAAAUUACAUUAUUAUCAUUUAUACAUUACUAGCUAUAGUAGAUUCAAGUCUAAACAACCUUCCAUCUAAUAUUUGAGACCAAAUUACUUACAUUUUCCUUUUGUUUAAUUAAGCUUUUAGUUUUUUCCUUGUUACAUCGAUAAUCAAAUAACAAAACCUCCCAUUAUUACUUCAUCUAGUUUGCAUAUUUAAGUUGAUUAAUAGUGUUAUAAAAACUCUAGAAAAAUACGAUUCCAUUAUUUGGUAAUGAGUGUACAAAUUUAUUCAUAAAAAAUAAGUUUUUUAUAUAAAAAUUAUUAAAUAUUAAAAUCAAACUCAAAUUAAAGAAGUGAUGUUAGUUUUUAAAAAAAUAUAUAAAAUUAUUUAAAUCCUCAAACUGCCCACCUAAAUCCGGGACUUUUAAUUAGUGGAGGCUGAGUACCUUGGCAUGGUGGUGAAGAGCGCCUUGUCAUGGCAAUAUGAUAUUCUAAUUGAAUGACCAAAUUGUUACCCGCUUAAUCUCAACAAACAAUAACUAUAAUACCUUAAGUAUUUACAAGAUAUAUUAGCACUAAUAACAACAAUAAGUUAGAACAAUAAAUUCAAAGUUCCCAAUAGGCUAGCUACUCUUUAUAAUAACGUUGUUCAGCCUAGUCAAUCAAGGCGAGCAAAUAGUAUUUGUUAGGCUUUGACCCAGGUAUCUAUUGACCAUCUCUAAGUUGUGAGGUAAGACCUACAAGGUUAGGAAAACUGUGGGUGGAUCUCGAUUUGUUUCAGAAAGAUGUGUAUGAAUCACCAUAUUCUAAGUGUUCUAAGGCAUAUAGAGGAAGAUGAUGAGUUAAAGAGUAUGACUAACCUCGGCAGUGGCCGUUGAGUGCUUGUUGCAUGUUGUCUAAUAGCCUGGUAGAUAUAUAAUUGAUAGUCUAGCAAGUGUUUGAUAGCCUGAGAGCUUAUAGCCUAGCUAGGAGCUACUAGUUUGAGAGCUUAUAGCCUAAUGAGAAGCCAAUAUAAUAGAACGUGACGGAGGAGCUCUGGUGAUCGGCCAGUGGUGGUACCGUGGAUCUAGCUCUAGAUUUUUUCCCUUUAUCCUUCCUUUAUGGACAUUGUGUGUACAUAGUUGUUGGAG
rnacentral:lncRNA from 1 species